UUAACACAUGCAAGUCGAGGGGCAGCAUGGUCUUAGCUUGCUAAGGCCGAUGGCGACCGGCGCACGGGUGAGUAACACGUAUCCAACCUGCCGUCUACUCCUGGACAGCCUUCUGAAAGGAAGAUUAAUACAAGAUGGCAUCAUGAGUCCACAUGUUCACAUGAUUAAAGGUAUUCCGGUAGACGAUGGGGAUGCGUUCCAUUAGAUAGUAGGCGGGGUAACGGCCCACCUAGUCUUCGAUGGAUAGGGGUUCUGAGAGGAAGGUCCCCCACAUUGGAACUGAGACACGGUCCAAACUCCUACGGGAGGCAGCAGUGAGGAAUAUUGGUCAAUGGGCGAGAGCCUGAACCAGCCAAGUAGCGUGAAGGAUGACUGCCCUAUGGGUUGUAAACUUCUUUUAUAAAGGAAUAAAGUCGGGUAUGCAUACCCGUUUGCAUGUACUUUAUGAAUAAGGAUCGGCUAACUCCGUGCCAGCAGCCGCGGUAAUACGGAGGAUCCGAGCGUUAUCCGGAUUUAUUGGGUUUAAAGGGAGCGUAGAUGGAUGUUUAAGUCAGUUGUGAAAGUUUGCGGCUCAACCGUAAAAUUGCAGUUGAUACUGGAUAUCUUGAGUGCAGUUGAGGCAGGCGGAAUUCGUGGUGUAGCGGUGAAAUGCUUAGAUAUCACGAAGAACUCCGAUUGCGAAGGCAGCCUGCUAAGCUGCAACUGACAUUGAGGCUCGAAAGUGUGGGUAUCAAACAGGAUUAGAUACCCUGGUAGUCCACACGGUAAACGAUGAAUACUCGCUGUUUGCGAUAUACAGCAAGCGGCCAAGCGAAAGCGUUAAGUAUUCCACCUGGGGAGUACGCCGGCAACGGUGAAACUCAAAGGAAUUGACGGGGGCCCGCACAAGCGGAGGAACAUGUGGUUUAAUUCGAUGAUACGCGAGGAACCUUACCCGGGCUUAAAUUGCAGAUGAAUUACGGUGAAAGCCGUAAGCCGCAAGGCAUCUGUGAAGGUGCUGCAUGGUUGUCGUCAGCUCGUGCCGUGAGGUGUCGGCUUAAGUGCCAUAACGAGCGCAACCCUUGUUGUCAGUUACUAACAGGUCAUGCUGAGGACUCUGACAAGACUGCCAUCGUAAGAUGUGAGGAAGGUGGGGAUGACGUCAAAUCAGCACGGCCCUUACGUCCGGGGCUACACACGUGUUACAAUGGGGGGUACAGAGGGCCGCUACCACGCGAGUGGAUGCCAAUCCCAAAAACCUCUCUCAGUUCGGACUGGAGUCUGCAACCCGACUCCACGAAGCUGGAUUCGCUAGUAAUCGCGCAUCAGCCACGGCGCGGUGAAUACGUUCCCGGGCCUUGUACACACCGCCCGUCAAGCCAUGGGAGCCGGGGGUACCUGAAGUGCGUAACCGCGAGGAGCGCCCUAGGGUAAAACUGGUGACUGGGGCUAAGAC
rnacentral:rRNA from 1 species